rnacentral:rRNA from 1 species
AAAUGAAUUGACGGGGGCCCGCACAAGCAGCGGAGCAUGUGGUUUAAUUCGAAGCAACGCGAAGAACCUUACCAGGUCUUGACAUCCAGUUAAAGCUGUAGAGAUACAGUGUGUGCUUGCACAAACUGAGACAGGUGGUGCAUGGUUGUCGUCAGCUCGUGUCGUGAGAUGUUGGGUUAAGUCCCGCAACGAGCGCAACCCUUGCCGGUAGUUACUAACGGGUAAAGCUGAGGACUCUACUGGGACCGCCGGGGACAACUCGGAGGAAGGUGGGGACGACGUCAAAUCAUCAUGCCCCUUAUGACCUGGGCUACACACGUGCUACAAUGGCCGAGACAGAGAGCAGCGAUGGAGCGAUCCGGAGCGAAUCUCAAAAAAGCGGUCACAGUUCGGAUUGUGGGCUGCAACCCGCCCACAUGAAGCAGGAGUUGCUAGUAAUCGCGAAUCAGCAUGUCGCGGUGAAUACGUUCCCGGGCCUUGCACACACCGCCCGU